rnacentral:lncRNA from 1 species
GCUUGGGAUAGCUAGUGUCGGAGUUUCCGACGUUUUGUAUUCGGGUUGAAUACAAAGGAUAGUGGAUUGAAAUUCUCAAGUAGGAUCUUGAGGAGUGGAUGUAGGUGCAAGGUUAGCACCGAACCACUAUAAAUCCUUGUGUUUAUGGUGUGCUUUAUCUCUUCACUUUAUUUCUUUAUUAUAUUCUUGCAUUCCUGCCUUAGGGAAUUAAUAUUGAAUUAAAGUCUUUGUUUUGAUCUUCAUAAGUAAUCUGUUGGGCUUAAAAUUUUUUAGAAACCCAAUUCACCCCCCCCUCUUGGGUUGCAU